rnacentral:rRNA from 1 species
UACGAAGGGGGCUAGCGUUGUUCGGAAUCACUGGGCGUAAAGCGCACGUAGGCGGGUUGUUAAGUCAGGGGUGAAAUCCCGAGGCUCAACCUCGGAACUGCCUUUGAUACUGGGAAUCUUGAGUUCGGGAGAGGUGAGUGGAAUUGCGAGUGUAGAGGUGAAAUUCGUAGAUAUUCGCAAGAACACCAGUGGCGAAGGCGGCUCACUGGCCCGAUACUGACGCUGAGGUGCGAAAGCGUGGGGAGCAAACAGG